rnacentral:rRNA from 1 species
GCGGGGGAAGGUAGCUUGCUACCUGACCUAGCGGCGGACGGGUGAGUAAUGCUUAGGAAUCUGCCUAUUAGUGGGGGACAACAUCUCGAAAGGGAUGCUAAUACCGCAUACGUCCUACGGGAGAAAGCAGGGGACCUUCGGGCCUUGCGCUAAUAGAUGAGCCUAAGUCGGAUUAGCUAGUUGGUGGGGUAAAGGCCUACCAAGGCGACGAUCUGUAGCGGGUCUGAGAGGAUGAUCCGCCACACUGGGACUGAGACACGGCCCAGACUCCUACGGGAGGCAGCAGUGGGGAAUAUUGGACAAUGGGGGGAACCCUGAUCCAGCCAUGCCGCGUGUGUGAAGAAGGCCUUUUGGUUGUAAAGCACUUUAAGCGAGGAGGAGGCUACCGAGAUUAAUACUCUUGGAUAGUGGACGUUACUCGCAGAAUAAGCACCGGCUAACUCUGUGCCAGCAG